GACAGAGGGUGCAAACGUUGUUCGGAAUUACUGGGCGUAAAGCGCGUGUAGGCGGCCUAGCAAGUCGGAUGUGAAAUCCCGCGGCUCAACCGUGGAAGUGCAUUCGAUACUGCCUGGCUAGAGUCUUGGAGAGGAAGGUGGAAUACUUGGUGUAGAGGUGAAAUUCGUAGAUAUCAAGUGGAACACCGGUGGCGAAGGCGACCUUCUGGACAAUGACUGACGCUGAGACGCGAAAGCGUGGGGAGCAAACAGG
rnacentral:rRNA from 1 species